ensembl:lncRNA
CGCAAGCUCUCAUAACCUAUGAUGAUGCCCAUCAUUUAUAAUAAAUACUCCCAUUCAAAUACAAACUGUCAUUGUUGAGUCAACCAGGUCAGUAUAAUGGGCAUUUAUAAGUACUUCACAACACUAUCCGGAAGCUUCUGGCUUGAUGCCUCAGAGCAAAGGCUACGUGUUAUGAGGACCAAAAGGAAGGAAGCGAGACAAAAUUGAUCAUUAUAAAUGGGAGACACCUUCUCCACACUGAAAAACAACCCCUACCCAACCCUGACUGAGAGAAAUGCAGCCGACAGAUGUGCAGGAACUUCCUCACACAUACACACAAACAUGCACAAACUUAUUAUGCAUCCUGCAAAGCUGCUCAGAGACGUGGAUAAAAAACCCGCCCGCGCAGGACAUCCGUCAAUAAUAAAGCAAGCAGGAGAUAAGGGAAGAGAUAUGGAGACCUGGGUUGGGGGCUGGGAGGUGUUAAUGAAGUGAGGGGACAAAGGCUUUAGAGGUUAUGAAUUUAUUUUUUUAUUAAAUGAUUAGCGGAAAGCUGCCCCAUCUUUAGCACAGCCUCAGGUUCACAGAGAAUCACACACAGUACAGUUAACUGAGUCACAGCUAACGUGAACUAUGAACUGUGUUUCCUCCACAUCAGAGCAUUUUACAGGAGACCAUGAGGAAGGUGAAGAAAAAAAUCUUCAAGGUUGACUUCUUAGAAGUGCUCUGAUUCAGCUAUACUGUGUAAUGUUGAGGUGAAGCUUGGAAAUGUUCCUCUAAAAUGAAAAACAGCUGUAGGAUUCAGUGCAGGAUGAGAUCUACAAGAGAAACAAAAUACUGCUCAAACUUAAAUGAUUACUUUUGAUGAAUUUAAAGUGACUCGGUUAACUAGACUACAUGUUCUCAGAGUUUUGCAGGCUUGAUAUGUCUUAAAGGGGAAAACAUUUAACAAGAAUUUAUUUAAUAGUAAUAAAGAUUAUUAGGCAUAGAGUUUACAGAGUUUUUGUUACACUGUUACACAGUUUGAUACAGCACAGCGUACUCUAAACACUGCAUGCUCUAUAUAUUGCGUAUAUUUAUGCCCUAUAUGCUGUACUGUGCCCCAUACACCGCAUUGUGCCCCA